ensembl:lncRNA
AGGAGUGACACGCACACAUCGGUACGCGGAACUUCACGGCCCACCUGUCUGUCCUGCAGCGGGACAGCAGCUCCUGUCAGCAGGAUCCGCCGCACAGCAGCGCUGCGCUCACAUCUCCGUGCGUCCAGCCAUGAGCAGCACCGCGCUCCGGACUGCGCCACUAUGGCACACAGAGUAACCCGGACAGCACCGCAGGACUCCGCAGACAGGCUCCGAGCCGGUGUGGAUUACCACAGAACAGGGACGCCUGCACUUUGUUUCUGACAUUCACGUCCAUGACCGGGAGGACGAGCAAACUCGGCAAAGAUGGAAAAUUGUGGUGGAGGCAGGAGACUUCGGCUACCCAGCAUCACCUGAAGAACUGGAAGUGUCCCGUGAGCCGAGUUCUGGUCCGGUUCUGGUCGCGGCGAAAGUAGUCCGGCAGGUUUCCAGGGUCACUUAAAUAAAACGUAUUUCUUCUAAAAACAGC